rnacentral:rRNA from 1 species
CGAAAGCCUGACGGAGCAAUACCGCGUGAGGGAGGAAGGCUCUUGGGUUGUAAACCUCUUUUCUCAGGGAAGAAAAAAAUGACGGUACCUGAGGAAUAAGCAUCGGCUAACUCCGUGCCAGCAGCCGCGGUAAUACGUAGGAUGCAAGCGUUAUCCGGAAUGAUUGGGCGUAAAGGGUCCGCAGGUGGCAUUGUAAGUCUGCUGUUAAAGAGUUUGGCUCAACCAAAUAAAAGCAGUGGAAACUACAAAGCUAGAGUCUGGUCGGGGCAGAGGGAAUUCCUGGUGUAGCGGUGAAAUGCGUAGAUAUCAGGAAGAACACCGGUGGCGAAGGCGCUCUGCUAGGCCAAAACUGACACUGAGGGACGAAAGCUAGGGGAGCGAAUGGGAUUAGAUACCCCAGUAGUCCUAGCCGUAAACGAUGGAUACUAGGUGUAGCUCGUAUCGACCCGAGCUGUACCGUAGCUAACGCGUUAAGUAUCCCGCCUGGGGAGUACGCAGGCAACUGUGAAACUCAAAGGAAUUGACGGGGGCCCGCACAAGCGGUGGAGUAUGUGGUUUAAUUCGAUGCAACGCGAAGAACCUUACCAAGACUUGACAUGUCACGAACCCCGGCGAAAGUUGGGAGUGCCUUAGGGAGCGUGAACACAGGUGGUGCAUGGCUGUCGUCAGCUCGUGUCGUGAGAUGUUGGGUUAAGUCCCACAACGAGCGCAACCCUCGUUUUUAGUUGCCAGCAUUAAGUUGGGCACUCUAGAGAGACUGCCGGUGACAAACCGGAGGAAGGUGGGGAUGACGUCAAGUCAGCAUGCCCCUUACGUCUUGGGCUACACACGUACUACAAUGCUACGGACAAAGGGCAGCUACACAGCGAUGUGAUGCGAAUCUCAUAAACCGUAGCUCAGUUCAGAUCGAAGGCUGCAACUCGCCUUCGUGAAGGAGGAAUCGCUAGUAAUUGCAGGUCAGCAUACUGCAGUGAAUUCGUUCCCGGGCCUUGUACACACCGCCCGUCACACCAUGGAAGUUGGUCACGCCCGAAGUCGUUACCCCAACCGAGAGGAGGGGGAUGCCUAAGGUAGGACUGAUGACUGGGGUGAAGUCGUAACAAGGUAGCCGUACCGGAAGGUGUGGCUGGAUCACCUCCUUUUAGGGAGACC